rnacentral:snRNA from 9 species
AUACCUACCUGGCGUCGGGAUACCGUGAUUAUGCAGGCGGUUCCCCGGGGUGCGGCUGCUCCAUUGCACUGCGGAGUGGUUGACCUUUGCGAUUAUUUUUAUAUUUUAUAAGUUUCACUUCUACCGUAUGUGAUUUGCAGUUUGCACACAUAUG